rnacentral:rRNA from 1 species
AUGACUGGAUACUGCAAUGCAGUGAGGAAGCUGGAAAAGAAGUUUCAGGGGUUAGAGCUCCAUCAUAUACCCCGACUAAAAAAUCAAGCAGCUGAUGAUCUAGCAAAGAUAGGUUCCAAGAGAGAAGCCGUUCCGAGUGGUGUGUUCCUGGAGCACAUUCAUACUCCGUCAGUUAAGGAAGACCCUUUCACUGAAGAAACCCCGCAGCCCAAGAGUGCCUCGGAUCCGACUGAGGUAGAAGUCCCAGCAGUGGUCGACUUGGUUAUGGAGAUCUUGGUAGUCACACCUGACUGGACAAUUCCAUAUAUCGCAUAUAUCCUGAGAAAAGAGCUCCCAGAGGAUGAGGAAGAGGCUCGACAGAUCAUCCGUCGAUCCAAGGCCUUUACCGUUAUCAGAGGACAGUUGUAUAGAGAGAGCGCGACAGGAGUUGGUCAAAAGUGCAUAACGCCAGACGAAGGUCGAAUCAUUCUCAAUGAUAUCGACUCGGGGACCUGUGGUCAUCAUGCGUCCUCUCGGACCAUCGUGGCCAAAGCAUACCGAGCCGGAUUUUACUGGCCAAAGGCGAAUGAGAUGGCAAAAGAAAUAGUGGACAAGUGCGAAGGAUGUCAGUUCUACUCCAAUAUGUCACACAAACCUGCUUCAGCUCUGAAGACCAUUCCACCCGUCUGGCCUUUCGCAGUAUGGGGGUUGGAUAUGGUCGGUCCCUUGAGAACAGGUCGUAGUGGCUUCACACAUGUGCUGGUGGCGGUCGACAAGUUCACCAAGUGGAUUGAAGCUAAACCAAUCAAGAACCUUGACGCCGGUACUGCUGUUAGCUUCAUCAGGGAACUGAUAUUCAGAUAUGGAGUCCCGCACAGCAUCAUUACGGAUAAUGGGUCGAACUUUGACUCGGAGGAAUUCAGGGAUUUCUGCAAUUCUCAAGGCACACGAGUCGACUACGCUUCACUCUCCCAUCCGCAGUCGAAUGGACAAGCAGAGCGAGCCAAUGGCCUGAUCCUCAAAGGAUUGAAACCCCGACUGAUGCGUGAUCUCAAGCAUGCGGCUGGAGCGUGGGUCAACGAACUUCCUUCGGUGCUUUGGGGACUAUGGACCACACCUAAUCGGUCGACCGGAAGAACUCCAUUCUUCUUGGUCUACGGAGCUGAAGCAGUCUUGCCGAGUGAUCUUCUCCACAAUGCUCCUCGAGUUGAACUCUACAACGAAGCAGAAGCUGAACAAGCGCGGCAGGAUGCAGUCGACCUUUUAGAGGAAGAAAGGGAGAUGGCUCUGAUCCGAUCGACCAUCUACCAACAAGACUUGCGUCGUUUCCACGCCAGAAAUGUGAGGGGUCGAGCCUUCCAGGAAGGAGAUUUAGUUCUCCGAGUGGAUCAGCAGAAGCAACACAAGCUCGCUCCUUCUUGGGAAGGACCCUUCAUCGUCACCAAAGUUCUCCACAACGGGGCGUACCAUCUUUACAACGUCGAACAUAAUAUCGACGAGCCCCGAGCUUGGAACGCGGAACUACUUCGCCCAUUUUACACUUAA